rnacentral:rRNA from 1 species
CCCAGACUCCUACGGGAGGCAGCAGUGGGGAAUAUUGCACAAUGGGGGAAACCCUGAUGCAGCGACGCCGCGUGAGUGAAGAAGUAUUUCGGUAUGUAAAGCUCUAUCAGCAGGGAAGAAAAUGACGGUACCUGACUAAGAAGCCCCGGCUAACUACGUGCCAGCAGCCGCGGUAAUACGUAGGGGGCAAGCGUUAUCCGGAUUUACUGGGUGUAAAGGGAGCGUAGACGGCAUGGCAAGUCAGAUGUGAAAGCCCGGGGCUCAACUCCGGGACUGCUUUUGAAACUGUAUGGCUAGAUUGCAGGAGAGGCAAGUGGAAUUCCUAGUGUAGCGGUGAAAUGCGUAGAUAUUAGGAGGAACACCAGUGGCGAAGGCGGCUUGCUGGACUGUAGAUGACGCUGAGACACGAAAGUGUGGGGAGCAAACAGGAUUAGAUACCCCAGUAA